CAACAUCUGCAGAGGACCAAAGUUGAGCAGCCCUGUCCAAGAUCCUUCCUUCCUUCCAAAUGCCUGUCAUUGUCUACACUGCCUGGCACCAGUUCUCCAUGAUUUUGGACAUGGACCUUUCUCAGUCUUACCUGAUGCCAGUGUCUGCACAUGCACAGGAUAGUCCGCUCCUAAAGAGAGAGAGAGAGGUUAGAAAAAGGAUGAAAGGAAAGACCUGGAGAGUGGGCAGAAGACUGAACGAAAAGCUGCAGAAGAUAUGGAAGUCUUGAUUGGGUUCCCAGAACUGGAGCAGGAAAGCAGGGAAGAACUGGAGCACUGGCAGCAAAGCAGCAAAGUAUGGACCUUUCAUUGCUGGAAAAAGGCUAGAAACAGUAGGGCCUAUUAUAUGACUAAGUUUGCAAAGG